UCUCGAAAAAAAAAAAAAAAAAAAAAAAAAAAAAAAAAA
rnacentral:ribozyme from 1 species